AUGGGAGAAGGAGGACGAGGAAGGGGGAGAGGUCGUGGGGCUAGCCGAAAUCAACAGGCCUUGGAGAUUCAGGAUGAAUUUCAGCAGCAUCCGGGAGCACCAGGGAUGUUUGGGUUCCCCACACCCAUGAAUCAACAGUUUGGUUACCCAGGGGCUCCGCCUUGGGGGUUUCCAGGUGCCUACGCCCCUUUCCCUCCCCCUCCAAAUUUCCCCAUGAACAAUCAGUGGGCGCUACCUGGACAGUCUCGAAUGCCUGCUGGAGGAAGCCAUCAUGGAGGAAAUCAACAACAACAAGUCUCAAACACAGGGGGUCAGCAGAAGACCCAAUCUGGGAAAGAGAAGCAGAAAAAGGGCUUAAACAGGGCUGGAUCUAGCAACAAUGUAGAAGGGAAAGAAAAAGCAAUGGUGGAUUUCACUGAAUACAGUCAGGCAAUGUGUUUUAAUUGCGGCGAUCCAGGACAUCCGCAAACUGAGUGCAAGAGAGCUAAGCUUUGCUUCAUCUGCAAAAGUACAACACAUGCUGUUGGUGAUUGUCCAGUCAGGAGAAGGCCACACCAGAUGGCUAAGUUCGUGGGAAGUGCAGCUGCAGGUUUAGGUUUCUAUCACAUAGAGGUUCCAGAUAUGGGUCAAAAUGCUAUUGGUAGCUUUAAGAAUUGUGGGGUGGUGUACAUUGAAUCAGGAGAGAUCAACAAAGAAGAUUUGGCUAAAGAGUUUGCUGUAAUCUACAAGACCAAUUGGCCUUGGCAGAUUAGGCCUUUUGGAAGAUGGUCUUACCUGGUGAAAUUUCCACCUCACAUCUCUGUGGAUCAGGUAGCUGGGUACCCAUGCUUUGGACUGUCCAGAGAAGACAUUACAGUUAAAGUAGUUGCUUGGAAGGAGGAACUCAUCAAGAAUGAUAAUCUCAUUGAGGUCUGGGUUCAACUUAGGAAAUUACUACCUAAGUGGUGCGAGUGGUCUUCCCUGGACCAAAUCACAUCAGUUUUUGGACUGAUGGUGGAUAUGGACUGGCAAUUAAUGUUUAAAAGUAUGUUUGAGGUGGUUAGGGUGAAAAUCCAAUGUAGAGAUCCAUCCAAAAUCCCCAAUGAAAGGUUGUUUGCUCUAGAAGGUAAGUUAGUGCAGGUUCAGAUCACUGUGGAAGUGCCUAAACCUAUGGCUGUAGAAAUGCAGACAAGUACUGGGCAACAGAAUGGGGGAGGAGACACAGACAGAGACAACAACAGUGGCAUGGAAACUGAAGAUAGUUUGAAUAGUAAUGAGAACACCCAAAGACCACCAUGUAGUGCUGGAGGGAAUGAAAGUAGGAAUGGAGCUGGAAAUAGUAACACCAAUGGUCAGAGGAAUCACUCUCUAUCUGACACAUGGACCCCACUACGUGAGAAAGCUGUGUGGGAAGCAUUCCGGAGAGGAGAUGAGAAGGAGAGGACAGAAACAAGUGAGGAUCAGAAGGAGGGAAGUGAAGUAGUGCCUAUAGAAGACCCUGAGAGAGAAGUUACUAGAUUCCUAUUUGUUGAGAUGAGUGAGGAACUGGACAAAACUGAAGAUUCCAUCAGUCUAGUAGAAACAAAAAACCAUGAGGAAAAUGAGAGGAUGGAACAAGUAGUUGAGGAAGAGGAAGAGGAAGUCUACUUACCUGAUGACAUCAUGCCCACCUAUGAGGAAGAAGCAGUGAUGUUAGAAUAUAAGAAGAGAAAGACUUCAAAAAAGCAGGGAUCCUGGGGACCAGUACAAGCUGCUAGAAAAAGCAACAGAGUGAAAGACAACUUACCCAUCAUGGAGAAGGCUGAGCUGCUCAAAAUGAGGAAAAACUUGGAGAUUCCAAAAACAACAGUGAGAGGUCUGGCAGAAGAUAAGUUCAUACUUGGGGGACUGGACGAAACUGCACAAGGAGCUACAGGAAGGGGCGAUGAAACUCUUCAGAGACCACAUGUUGAGAAAGCUGAGAUCACCGCUGGAACUGGAACCAGAUUGAGAUGCUGUGAAACUGCGGAACAACUUUCCUGGUCCAAAAACAUCCACGGGAUGUCACAUGGAGGGCGUGCUACCCUGGAGCAAGUAAAGGAGAACCCAAGGCUGGUGGAAGAAGUUCAUGUGGUCUUCUUCCCCAUGAGCUGA
rnacentral:rRNA from 1 species